rnacentral:rRNA from 1 species
CACGUGGGUAAUCUACCUUGGAGUUUGGGAUAACCCGGGGAAACCCGGGCUAAUACCGGAUACGGCCCGACGAUCUUCGGAUCGACGGGAGAAAGAGGGCCACUACUUGUAAGCUCUCGCUCCUCGAUGAGCCCGCGGUCCAUUAGCUUGUUGGUGAGGUAACGGCUCACCAAGGCUCUGAUGGGUAGCUGAUCUGAGAGGAUGAUCAGCCACACUGGAACUGAGACACGGUCCAGACUCCUACGGGAGGCAGCAGUGGGGAAUUUUGGUCAAUGGGCGAAAGCCUGAACCAGCAACGCCGCGUGCAGGAUGAAGGCCCUCGGGUCGUAAACUGCUGUCAGGAGGGAAGAACGGUCGAGUAGUUAAUACCUAUUCGGCGUGACGGUACCUCCAAAGGAAGCAACGGCUAACUCCGUGCCAGCAGCCGCGGUAAUACGGAGGGUGCAAGCGUUGUUCGGAAUUAC